GGUGGCUCAGUGGCAGAGCGCUUGCUUUGCAUGCAUGAGGCCCUGGGUUCGAUUCCCCAGCACCA
rnacentral:tRNA from 1 species